rnacentral:rRNA from 1 species
GAUGAACGCUGGCGGCGUGCUUAACACAUGCAAGUCGAACGGAAAGGCCUGUACUUGUACAGGUACUCGAGUGGCGAACGGGUGAGUAACACGUGGGUGAUCUGCCCUGCACUGUGGGAUAAGCCCGGGAAACUGGGUCUAAUACCAUAUAGGACCACUUCUUGGAUGGUGUGGUGGAAAGCUUUUGCGGUGUGGGAUGAGCCUGAGGCCGAUCAGCUUGUUGGUGGGGUAAAGGCCUACCAAGGCGGCGAGGGGUAGCCGGCCUGGGAGGGGGGAAGGACACAUUGGGACUGAGAUACGGCCCAGACACCUACGGGAGGCAGCAGUGGGGAAUAUUGCACAAUGGGCGGAAGCCUGAUGCAGCGACGCCGCGUGGGGGAUGACGGCCUUCGGGUUGUAAACUCCUUUCGCUAUCGACGAAGCCACCUUGGGUGGUGACGGUAGGUAGAUAAGAAGCACCGGCUAACUACGUGCCAGCCGCCGCAGUAA